CAGAGUAUGGCGCAGUCCGGUAGCGUGCCCGUUUUGGGAACGGGAUGCCGCAGGUUCAAAUCCUGCUACUCUGA
rnacentral:tRNA from 1 species